CUCUUAAGAUUCUGAUGGUGCAGUGAAGUGGAGGUGCUUUGGAAUUCCAAGAUAUGGGUUGUACCCACAUGCAUGGUCAAAAUCUGUUAAUGGGGUUGAUUAAUACUGGAAUAGGGUUAUAUGCCACUAAAGAAAGCAUAGUUUCAAGGGUGUUGCUCUGUGGAUGAUCUAAAGAUGGAAAGGAAUC